GAAGAGGAAAAGGAGGAGGAGAGCAUCGUAGAACUGGAGGGAAUGAGACGAGGUCCUGUAAAGAGAAGAACUCUACACUGAGUGAAUCAGGGAGACAUGGAGGUUAUGUUUUCAAUGACAAAACAGGAAGUGGAAUUGCAGCCCCCAGAACGUUUGUACCUUUAGGACCUGGACGAGACCUGGACUAGACCUGGACGAGGUGACGAGUCCUGGAAGAGGUGACUAGACCUGGACGAGACCUGGACGAGACCUGGACGAGGUGACGAGUCCUGGAAGAGGUGACGAGACCUGGACGAGACCUGGACGAGACCUGGACGAGGUGACGAGUCCUGGAAGAGGUGACGAGACCUGGACGAGACCUGGACGAGGUGACAAGUCCUGGACGAGGUGACGAGACCUGGACGAGACCUGGACGAGACCUGGACGAGACCUGGACGAGACCUGGACGAGGUGACGAGACCUGGACGAGGUGACGAGACCUGGACGAGACCUGGACGAGGUGACGAGUCCUGGAAGAGACUCAGCAGAAAAGUUGCAGUGGAAGUGUGACAGUUUAAAACCUCAAACGGUUUCUGAUGACGUGUGAACAAACAAAGGAAAAAAAGAAAAUCAAGUUUGACCUCUGCUCUUCUUCUCCUGGAGCUCUCGACUGUACAACAUGGUCUUCACCAGCAGGUGGAGACGCCCGACUGCAACAUUACCAACAGAGUCGCCAUUUACUGGGUGAAGACUUUUAUUUUGAAAAACAUCUGGACAUUUCUACAAGGAAACAGACUAUAAAAGUUUAACAGCUGCAGGACGGAGCUCAGGGGCCCCGUCCGGAGGUCGGCCCUCAGACGGCUACAUGUACGGAGGCCUUUUACUGUCAGGGACAAAGAGCUCUUGUUAGAAAUGACUCAAAUAAGAAAUAAAAAUUAAAAAUGUCUUAAUUUGACAAUUUAUUGGUCUGAUUUGGUUUUGUAAACAAAUAUUGUUGCUUUGUUUGUUCUUUUGGAAAAUGUGUUUUUAAAAAAAGUGAAUGAAUAAACAACGUUCUUUCCUGUA